rnacentral:rRNA from 1 species
AUUGAACGCUGGCGGCAUGCUUUACACAUGCAAGUCGAACGGUAACAGGGUGCUUGCACCGCUGACGAGUGGCGAACGGGUGAGUAAUGCGUCGGAACGUGCCGAGUAGUGGGGGAUAACGCAUCGAAAGGUGUGCUAAUACCGCAUACGUACUGAGGUAGAAAGGGGGGGACCUUCGGGCCUCACGCUAUUCGAGCGGCCGACGUCUGAUUAGCUAGUUGGUGAGGUAAAGGCUCACCAAGGCGACGGUCAGUAGCGGGUCUGAGAGGAUGAUCCGCCACACUGGGACUGAGACACGGCCCAGACUCCUACGGGAGGCAGCAGUGGGGAAUUUUGGACAAUGGGCGCAAGCCUGAUCCAGCCAUGCCGCGUGUCUGAAGAAGGCCUUCGGGUUGUAAAGGACUUUUGUCCGGGAGCAAAUACCCAGUGCUAAUAACGCUGGGGGCUGAGAGUACCGGAAGAAUAAGCACCGGCUAACUACGUGCCAGCCGCCGCAGUAACAC